AGCGCGCUUGGUUCGGGACCAAGAGGGCGUGGGUUCAAAUCCCACCGCUCCGACCA
rnacentral:tRNA from 1 species